rnacentral:lncRNA from 1 species
AUUUUAUCUUGAUGCAAAAUGGGCUUAAAGUGAGUGCAACGAUCAUGAAAACUUGCCCUAAAUGGAAAGUCAACCAUUUCCAAAUUAAGUAACUUUUCCAAUUCCUGAUUAAAUGGUGAAUCCAUCAUCCAACCUUGAUCAAAUUUCACAUGUAGGAUCCCCUAGGCAUGGAUUUUGAGAUUCCACUCUCAAAAUGUCAGGAGUUGACUUUUCUGGCCCCACAGUUGACUUUUCCCAAACUGUCU